GCAACGGUGUGGCAAGCAGCGGGGGGAAUAUGAAGGGGUCAAACGUGGUCCGGAAUGAUUGGGAGUAAAGGGCGCGUAGGGGGCCAGGUAAGUGAGAGGUGAAAGCUCUGGGCUAAACCCAGGAAUUGCAUGUCAUACUGCUUGGCUUGAGUUCGGUAGAGGAGGGCGGAAUUCCAGAAGUAGCGGUGAAAUGCGUAGAUAUCUGGAGGAACACCCGUGGCGAAGGCGGCUCUCUGGUCCGAUACUGACGCUGAGGCGCGAAAGGUAGGGGAGCAAACAGGAUUAGAUACCCGUGUAGUC
rnacentral:rRNA from 1 species